CCUACGGGAGGCAGCAGUGAGGAAUAUUGGUCAAUGGCCGCAGGGCUGAACCAGCCAAGUCGCGUGAGGGAUGACGGUCCUAUGGAUUGUAAACCUCUUUUGUCAGGGAGCAAAGGGCGCCACGUGUGGCGUUUUGCGAGUACCUGAAGAAAAAGCAUCGGCAAACUCGGUGCCAUCAGCCGCGGUAAGACGGGGGAUGCGAGGUUUAUCCGGAUCUGUGGGGUUUAAAGGGUGCGCGGGGGGAAUGUCAAGUCAGCGGUAAAAUUUCGGGGUUAAACCCCGUCGUGCCGUUGAAACUGGCGUGCUUGAGUGUGCGAGAGGUAUGUGGAAUGCGAGGUGUAGCGGUGAAAUGCAUAGAUAUCACGAAGAACUCCGAUUGCGAAGGCAGCAUACCGGCGCACAACUGACGCUCAUGCACGAAAGCGUGGGUAGCGAACAGGAUUAGAUACCCCAGUAGUC
rnacentral:rRNA from 1 species